UACGUAGAGGGCAAGCGUUGUCCGGAUUUACUGGGCGUAAAGCGUGCGUAGGCGGAAGUUUAAGUGUGGCCUGAAAGCCCCCGGCUCAACCGGGGAGGGUGGCUGCAAACUGGGCUUCUUGAGGGGGAUAGAGGAGAGUGGAAUUCCGGGUGUAGCGGUGAAAUGCGUAGAGAUCGGGAGGAACACCAGUGGCGAAGGCGGCCAUCUGGAUCAACACUGACGCUGAGGCACGAAAGCGUGGGGAGCAAACAGG
rnacentral:rRNA from 1 species